CCCUAUGGGGUGCAGCAGGCAGAGGAGGCCCUGAAGCAGCACGAGCGCGACCUCAAGGACAAGACGCACGAGCUCGAGGAGCUCAAUGCGGCGCUGCGCGUCCUGCUCAAGCGAAGGGAGGAGGACAAGCUGGAGUUGGAGAACAAUGUCAUCUCCAACCUCAAGAAGCUCGUCAUCCCCUAUAUCGAAAAGAUCAAGAAAGGCCGUCUCGAGGGAAACGACCUCGUGAGCCUCAACGUCAUCGAGUCCAACCUGAAGGACAUCGCCUCACCCUUCGCGAGCAAGCUCUCGUCGGAGUACCUGAGCCUCACGCCCAAGGAGCUGCAGGUGGCCGACCUGAUCAAGGAGGGAAAGACAACCAAGGAAAUCGCAGAGUUCAUGAGC
rnacentral:rRNA from 1 species